rnacentral:rRNA from 1 species
GAAUUCGCCCUUCCUACGGGAGGCAGCAGUGGGGAAUCUUGGACAAUGGGCGCAAGCCUGAUCCAGCCAUGCCGCGUGAGUGAUGAAGGCCUUCGGGUUGUAAAACUCUUUUGGCGGGGACGAUAAUGACGGUACCCGCAGAAUAAGCUCCGGCUAACUCCGUGCCAGCAGCCGCGGUAAUAAGGGCGAAUUCGG